ACUCCUACGGGAGGCAGCAGUAGGGAAUAUUGGUCAAUGGGUGAGAGCCUGAACCAGCCAUGCCGCGUGCAGGAAGACGGCCUUCUGGGUUGUAAACUGCUUUUACCAGGGAUAAACGACUCUGCGGAGUUAAUUGAAGGUACCUGGAGAAUAAGCACCGGCUAACUACGUGCCAGCAGCCGCGGUAAUACGUAGGGUGCAAGCGUUGUCCGGAAUUAUUGGGCGUAAAGAGCUCGUAGGCGGUUUGUCACGUCUGCUGUGAAAAUCCAAGGCUCAACCUUGGACUUGCAGUGGGUACGGGCAGGCUAGAGUGCGGUAGGGGAGAUGGGAAUUCCUGGUGUAGCGGUGGAAUGCGCAGAUAUCAGGAGGAACACCAAUGGCGAAGGCACAUCUCUGGGCCGUAACUGACGCUGAGGAGCGAAAGCGUGGGGAGCGAACAGGAUUAGAUACCCUGUAGGCUCUG
rnacentral:rRNA from 1 species